UACGUAGGUGGCAAGCGUUGUCCGGAUUUAUUGGGUUUAAAGGGUGCGUAGGCGGUUUUCUAAGUCAGCCGUGAAAUACGGCAGCUCAACUGUCGAGGUGCUGUUGAUACUGGGGAACUUGAGUACUGAUGAGGUAGGCGGAAUGGACGGUGUAGCGGUGAAAUGCUUAGAGAUCGUCCAGAACACCGAUAGCGAAGGCAGCUUACUAAGGAGUAACUGACGCUGAGGCACGAAAGUGUGGGGAUCAAACAGG
rnacentral:rRNA from 1 species